UACGGAGGGAGCUAGCGUUGUUCGGAUAUACUGGGCGUAAAGCGCACGUAGGCGGCGUCGUAAGUCAGGGGUGAAAUCCCGGAGCUCAACUCCGGAACUGCCCUUGAAACUGCAAUGCUAGAAUCUUGGAGAGGCGAGUGGAAUUCCGAGUGUAGAGGUGAAAUUCGUAGAUAUUCGGAAGAACACCAGUGGCGAAGGCGGCUCACUGGCCCGAUACUGACGCUGAGGUGCGAAAGCGUGGGGAGCAAACAGG
rnacentral:rRNA from 1 species